rnacentral:rRNA from 1 species
UGGGGAAUAUUGCACAAUGGGGGAAACCCUGAUGCAGCGACGCCGCGUGAGCGAAGAAGGUUUUCGAACCGUAAAGCUCUGUCCUAUGAGAAGAUAAUGACGGUAUCAUAGGAGGAAGCCCCGGCUAAAUACGUGCCAGCAGCCGCGGUAAUACGUAUGGGGCGAGCGUUGUCCGGAAUUAUUGGGCGUAAAGGGUACGUAGGCGGUCUAUUAAGUCAGGUGUGAAAGCGUGAGGCUUAACCUCAUUAAGCACUUGAAACUGAUAGACUUGAGUGAAGGAGAGGAAAGUGGAAUUCCUAGUGUAGCGGUGAAAUGCGUAGAUAUUAGGAGGAAUACCGGUGGCGAAGGCGACUUUCUGGACUUUUACUGACGCUCAGGUACGAAAGCGUGGGGAGCAAACAGG